CCUACGGGAGGCAGCAGUGAGGAAUAUUGGUCAAUGGACGAGAGUCUGAACCAGCCAAGUAGCGUGAAGGAUGACUGCCCUAUGGGUUGUAAACUUCUUUUAUAUGGGAAUAAAACGUUCCACGUGUGGGAUUUUGUAUGUAACAUAUGAAUAAGGAUCGGCUAACUCCGUGCCAGCAGCCGCGGUAAUACGGAGGAUCCGAGCGUUAUCCGGAUUUAUUGGGUUUAAAGGGAGCGUAGGUGGAUUGUUAAGUCAGUUGUGAAAGUUUGCGGCUCAACCGUAAAAUUGCAGUUGAAACUGGCAGUCUUGAGUACAGUAGAGGUGUGCGGAAUUCGUGGUGUAGCGGUGAAAUGCUUAGAUAUCACGAAGAACUCCGAUUGCGAAGGCAGUUCACUGGACUGCAACUGACACUGAGGCUCGAAAGUGUGGGUAUCAAACAGGAUUAGAUACCCCGGUAGUC
rnacentral:rRNA from 1 species